GAUGAACGCUGGCGGCGUGCCUAAUACAUGCAAGUCGAACGAACAGACGAGGAUCUUGCGCCGUGGACGUUAGCGGCGGACGUGUGUAUAACGCGUGUAUAACCUACCUAUAAUACGGAGAUAACUUGGGGAAACCGGAUCUUAUACCGGAUAACAUGCUGAACCACAGUGGUCGACAGUGAGAGACGGUCGUUCGGGCAGGUCUAGCUGGAUCCGCGCCUUAUGAGCUAGUUGUUGAGUUAACGGCCUACCAAGGGAACGAUGCGUAGACGAACUGACAGGGUGGUAGGCCACCUGGGAAGUGAACCACCGACAAUAGUCCUAAGGGAGGCAGCAGACGGGAACGUUCCGCAAUGGGGGAAAGUCUGACGGAGCAAGGCCACGCGAGUGAAGAAGGUCCUCGGAGCGUAAAACUGUGUUACGAGUGAAGAACAAAUGUGUCAGUAAACAUGCACGUCUUGACGGUAACUAAUAAGAAAGCCACGGCUAACUACGUG
rnacentral:rRNA from 1 species